CUCCUAGCUACCCGUUUGGCGCCGCGGGACUAUUUACGUGGUUUUGUGAAACUCUAGGAAGGAAAGUCUAGGAAGGAAAUAACAGUAGUCAAUUAUUAAAGCCAGGAUAUCUUUCUCUCAAGCUACACACAAAUGGACUCUAGUGACCUUCCCAAGUGUGGUAUAAAAACCAGUCUUAAGGUCUUUAUUCAUAACUAUAUCAAACUGUCAACCAACAUAUUUUUUUUUUACCUCCACCCCUGCAGGAGCGAUGCCCCUGUGGGGUGGAGUCCCCCUCCUAAGCCGCCCUGUUCCAUGAGUCUUCGGACCCAUGGACAGGCACAUGGGAGGGGUUUUUAUUUUUUUCCAGGUACUAAGUUCUUGGAUUUAAGUUUUUAUUAUUGAGAGUUAACGUACCUUGAAGUUAACGUACCUUGAAGUUAACGUACCUUGAAGUUAACGUACCUUGAGUAAGUUUGUCAUUGUUAAGCAUUUAUAAGGUAAACUAAUGUACCAGAUGAACUGUCUAAUGAUUUCAAACUUGCCCUAAUAGUUAACACUUCAAGUUAAGAACUUUUUAGGUUAACGUACCUUCAAUGAUUUAAGUUUUUAAUGAUUUAUGAAGUUAAGUACUUAAGUGCUAAUAUACAACGUUGAGAAACUGUAGCAUUUUAAAUUUGAUCUAUUUAUUUAAGACCGUUUUAACUCUUAGUUUUGUUAAGUUAAUACAGACGUUGACGUAUUCUCCAUACUUAAAGUGGAACUAAGUUAAUAUUACUUAAAUUGCCAAUUUCUUUAUACUUUAUAUUUAAGUAUAUCAGUGAUUAAAUAUUACUAUAAUUACAAUUUUCUUUAUGCUUAUAAUUUAAAUAUAUCAAUUGGAUUAAGUUUAUUUAAAAAAAUUACUUUUUUCUGUAAUUUCUAAAGCUUAUCAGUAUUUUAAGGUUUGAUCUAUGUAUCUUAUUUUAAAAAGGCAUAAAGUUUUUUAAAAUUUUUAACGUAAAUUUGUGGCUAUAAUCCAUAUGAUAUUUAUCUUUAUUAUUUAAUUUAGAGCUAAGAAAUUUGAUUACAUUUAUGCCAGCCAUACAAUGAGCAGUCCUUUUUUCUCUAUUGCAUUAGACAUAUGGUUAUCAAUGGCUAAACCUUUAUUUAAAAUAUUCAAGUAAUGUUAAGGUUAACCAGUCACUGUCAAAGAAUUCAUUCUAGGUUAUACCUCUGCUCUUUUUGAACAGCUUUGUAAAGUGACCAUUUGUUACGUAGCAGCUCUGAAGUUUUCACUUCUCAAAUGGUCCUUGUGUUUUUUUUGGGGAGGAGGGGAGGUCACUUCAUUUGCUAGUGCUUUUUUGGAUACCUCUGGUCCUGUUAUUGUUUCCUAGCAGUUUUUUUUUUUAUAUAUUUAUAUUUCUUAGCUGCUUUGGUCACAGGCUUUUAUUACGAAUGGUUUGUACGAGGAAAAAUAUGGAUCUGGUGUUAAGGGUUUGUUCACAUUAACCAAACUUUUAUUUUGUUUUAAUGAGAUUACAUAGUUAUUUUGGCUUUUGGUUAAACUUGACUGCCGAAGUUUUUUUUCAGGGUGUAUAAUGGAACAUGCGAUGCUUCUGUUAUUCAAGGAUUAGAGUUCGUUACUUUAGCUCGACUAUAGUUAUUCAAUGAGUUGAGAGUGGAGCCUGGCAUUGCUGAUAGCAUUUACUUGAUACUAUGAGUUGUCCUGUGUUGAUUGAAAGGAGUAAUUUGUUAAUGACCCUCAAAUAAUUGAUUCACUUGUGAAUUAUUUACCUGUAAUAAUUACGAACCUGGAAAGUCUUCCUGCCAUAUAUUCAUUAAAUAUCUAAACAUAU